GCCGGAUCAGCCGGGCCGGGCGGGUCGGUCGGGUCGGUCGGGCCCGGUGCGGCACCGGGCUCCGGCG
rnacentral:tRNA from 1 species